AGCGAACGCUGGCGGCAGGCUUAACACAUGCAAGCCGAGCGGGCACUUUCGGGUGUCAGCGGCGGACGGGUGAGUAACGCGUGGGAACGUGCCCUCUGGUUCGGAAUAACUCAGGGAAACUUGAGCUAAUACCGGAUACGCCCUUUUGGGGAAAGGCUUGCUGCCGGAGGAUCGGCCCGCGUCUGAUUAGCUAGUUGGUGAGGUAACGGCUCACCAAGGCGACGAUCAGUAGCUGGUCUGAGAGGAUGAUCAGCCACACUGGGACUGAGACACGGCCCAGACUCCUACGGGAGGCAGCAGUGGGGAAUAUUGGACAAUGGGCGCAAGCCUGAUCCAGCCAUGCCGCGUGAGUGAUGAAGGCCUUAGGGUUGUAAAGCUCUUUUAUCCGGGACGAUAAUGACGGUACCGGAGGAAUAAGCCCCGGCUAACUUCGUG
rnacentral:rRNA from 1 species